AAUCAACGCUGGCGGCGUGCCUCAGACAUGCAAGUCGAACGCUGCUGUUCGCCUUCGGGUGGACAGCGGAGUGGCGCACGGGUGAGUAACACGUAGGUAAUCUACCUUUGGGUGGGGAAUAACAGCCGGAAACGGCUGCUAAUACCGCAUAAUGCAGCGGCAUCACAUGAUGACAGUUGUUAAAGCGAGGGAUCGUAAGACCUCGCGCCUGAAGAGGAGCCUGCGGCAGAUUAGGUAGUUGGUGAGGUAAUGGCUCACCAAGCCUGCGAUCUGUAACCGGCCUGAGAGGGCGGUCGGUCACACUGACACUGACAUACGGGUCAGACUCC
rnacentral:rRNA from 1 species